AUGUUGAAGAAGUGAGCCAAGAACAGAAUCUUCACUUGAGAACGCCUGAGAAUAGCAAUCACAGAGAUGGAGAAAGACAGGGGACUUCCCAAUCAUCAGAGAUACAAGAAGGAUACAGAAUUCACUUUUGGUUACAACAAAUUGAUCCAGUGAGGAGAGAUUCUCUCUUAGAGGACCAAAGUUUAACUGGACCAAAGUUUAACUGGUGGGAGAGAAGUAGUGGAGAGAGGGCGUGAUGAAAACUCGAUGCAGAGUUCUGAUGCUUUAAAGAUGAAGUCAGCCCAGAGCAAAAAGAAAUCUUAUAUAUGCCCACAGUAUGGGAGAAGUCUAAAUUCCAAUUAUUCCCUUUCAAGACAUCUACAACGAACCCACAAAGUAGAAAACCUGUACAGAUGCUCAAACUGUGGGGAAAGAUUUAACUCUAAGCAAGACCUUUCAGCACACAAAAAAUCACACGAAAAAGAGAAGCCAUGUGAAUGUGGAGAUUGUGGGAAAAGUUUUAGGAGCAAAAGGAAUCUUGCUGAACAUAGAAGAAUUCACACUGGAGAGAAGCCUUAUAAAUGCUCAGACUGUGGGAAAUGUUUUCGUACUAGCUCAGGGCUUUCAAAACACAAAAAAACCCACCGUGAAGAGAAGCCACACCAAUGUGUAGAGUGUGGGAAAAGUUUUAGGUUAAAACAUAAUCUUGUUCGACAUAAAAGAGUUCACACAGGAGAGAAGCCAUAUACAUGCUCAGAAUGUGGGAAAGCAUUCGGUUAUAAAUCUAGUCUUGAUCAUCAUUUAAAAUCUCAUUGAACAGAGAAACCAUACCAAUGCUUGAAAUGUGGGGAAAACUUCAGUCAGAAAUCACACCUUGUUGUCCACAACGAAACUCACAGUCGAGAGAAACCACAUACAAGCCUGCAGUGUGAUCAAUCCUUCCAUCAAGCGAGUGAAAUUUUGCUGCACAAGAAAGGGCAUACACGGAAGAAAUCCAAUCAUUGUUUGCAAUGCCAAAGAACCUUCCGUUGGCACUACCGGUAUCUUGCACACCAAAAAACCCACAUGGUUAAGGAGCCAAACAGGUGCUCAGAGUGUGGGAAGAACUUUUUGUGGGAAGGUGGCCUUAUGAAACACAUGAAAAAACAUGUCAGAGCUAGAUUAUGUGGACGUUUGGAAUGUCAAACAAACAACCCGUAACUAACUCUAAUCUUCAUAGACAGAAAGAAACCCCACCCGGGGGGUGGGGGGGGGGGAAUACAGCAGUGUCCCCAAUCUGGAGAAAGAUUUGUUCAGAAAUCAUUGCUUUUUCUACAGCAAAGGUUGAGUGUCAGAGAGAAGCCUCAGUUUCAAAAGUUCCCACAUGAAGACUCAUUACUUACCUAGACUUAUAAUGGAAAAAUCCAUGGACAGGAGGACUACCUCUGUCUGGUUGGGGGUGGGACUUUCUGAGGGAACUUUCAGCACUUCUGUCAUUAGGGAGUCUAAUUGCUUUAGCAGACUUCUAUCACAUCAGGGACAUUCAACUUUUUAAGUACUUUUCAGAAAUUGUCAAGCAUUUCUCAGGCCUGUAACAAAUAUUAUUUCAUAAUAAUGACAAGAAUUUUUAAACUUUUAUGUUCAUUUUUAUCUUCAUCGUGUUUUGUGCUGGAGGGUUGGCACCUUGCACUUUGGAACUUGGGGAGGGGUGUUUGUUUCAGAGCAGGGUGCUGCAUUGAGUUGUGAUGUGGUUCGACUCUUUUUAAAGCUAAAUAAAUGUUUUUAAUUUUGUUUUU